AACACAAAGUCCUGCUUGUGGGAGAGUAGAAAACCACUCAUUCCCAAAUAUUAGCGUUGGAGGAUUGACUGUAACAAUUCUACAGAAAAUCCUUGGGGCAUGAGCCAGCAAAGAAGAGCUGCAGCAUCCUGGAUUUCAAGAGCAGGAGCAGAUCCAGAAGAUCCAGGGAAUAAAUUAUUCCCCUAUAAUUCAUACUUGUGACAUAGCAUCCACUUUUUGUCACAGGUUCAUUUUUUCACUAAUGACAUAUUUUCAUAUAUGACAUAUUCCAAUAUCUAUCCAAAAUACAAAAUUUGGAUUAUAAAAAUCAGAGAUAAUUCAUUAAUUUUGGACCUCACGUAUCACUUUUUUUGCAGAAAUACUAAUAUAACCAGGCUAGAAAAGCAGGGGUGGAAAACUAACUACAAAGAUAUACACGCAGAAAAAUUUUCAAGGGACUGAUUUAUUUAGAGAUUUCUAACUGGAAAUAUACUUUUUGCAAGAAAACAUGCCAAAUACCCAGGAGGAAGCCUGAUUUUGCAUUGCAAAGCAGCCCUAACCAACCUACUUAAGUUCAUAUUGGGUCUUGGAAGCCUGCAUUCUUCAAUGUGUUUGAUGUGGGUUCUUGGGGAAAAAAAAAAUCUGUGUUGAGGGGAAGCCUCAUCUAUUUUAGAAUUCUACUGGGAUCUGAAAUCAGUGGGAUAUUUUUUAAUCCUUCUUUUUUUCAUGCUGAGUAAACUUUUAACAUAUUUCUGAGUUUCACUACAAAUACUUUUCAAGCAUACUUAUUUCCUGUCACAUCAGGUAAUUAUUAGAAAUACAAUUUCUCUGCACAGACUAACUGUACUUUUGUGCUAAUUCAACAUAAACCUGUAUUUGCACCACUGCCACUCACAGCAAGUCAGCUCCUCAGAGCAACUUAAAGUGCCUUCAGUUCAGCAUGCUUGAGAAUCCACCAUAACAGGAUGCUCCAUUUCAAAGGAAGAGAUGAAAUCAGGUUUUUAAAUACAAAAUAUGAUGCAAUGUGAUAUUUGACAUGCAGAUUUGCACUAUUUUAACAAUAUUGGGGGCAUGAAUGUUUCUGUUUGCUGUUACAAAAGAGCUUUAAGUACUGUUAUAAGGAUGUUUUUUAAGAAAUGUAAAUAAAGUCAUAACAAACUAAAAGGACAUACAUUAUGCUCUAAAUUUACUGCAGUUAAUACAAUAUAAAAUUUCAGGCUUACAGUUAAAAUAAGAGGAGAAAUUAAUUUGUUUAUAUGAAAACUUUUUGUGGGGAGUACAAAUAUAAGUGAUUUUUAGAGGCAUAUUUUUAAUAUUUUCCACACUUUUCCCCCCAGCACUGAUUCUAUAUUCAUUCCCCUCAGUCAAAACCAUUUACUUCAUAAUGAAGGCCACAGGCACUUGAAUUUGUUUUUAAUGACUGCCUCAAAAACAAAGAUUGUGUUAUUCUGAGGAAAUAUUUCAAACAGUUACAGCCAUGUGAUGAUGGAAAGACUGUUUAGAAAAAAAUCUUUCCCAAAAGUUUCAUUUUACCACUUUGCUAAAGUCCAGCUUGGUGCACUACUUCAUGUUGGUUCUAUGGAAGUCUCCUCUAGCACAUUUGAAUGAAACUUUCAGGGGUUUUAUGACUGAGACAAUUCAUUCCAGUAACAAAAAUAAAAGUUGACAAGAUAGUGAUUCAAAAGUAAAAAGGGGUUGCAAAAAAAAGAAUACAAAAAAUAUAGAUGUUUAAGAUAGUGAGUCUUAAGAUUUGUCUUAUCACAACAGACACAUCACAUCCAUCAGACGCAAAGACAGCUUCUUAGAAGUUGGAUGAAAUUUGGUUUAAAUAGACUGGUUUUGCAGGCAUGCAUGUUUCUUGCCUAUUGUCAUCUCUUAGGGACAAAAGUGUAAUUUGACCUUCUUGUUUGCCCAUAAAAGAAAAUAUUUUCCUUUGACAGUCAUGCUUCACGUUAAAGUGUUCUAUAUUAGAAAAUGUUUUUAAGCAGCACUCCAAAAAACCAAAAAUUUUAGAGACUACAUUGCAUCAAUUCUUUGUUUAUAUCAUCUUAUAUUUUGCAAAUAUAAACUGCAGUGGAUUGGGAGGUUGUUUUGAGGCUGACAGAUAGCAACUUUUGGUUGCUGAGCAUUUUGGAGUGGGUUUUCUUGUUUGUUUUGCUUUGUUUUGGGGGUUUUCUUGUCUUUUUUUGUGUUUUGUUUUGGUUUUUGGAGUUUUUGGUUUGGUUUGGUUUGGUUUUUUGGUAGGUUUUGAUUAUUGGUAGGAGGUUUUUUUAGAUAUUAGAAGAGUUUCUCAAAAUAUUAUUCUGCAAGAGUCAGCCAUGCAGUUUCACACAGGUAAUAGGAACAGGUACCAGCCAAGCAAGCAUCCAAUUUGUGAAAGCGUUCACUUUAUCACACAACCCUAGAAAGAUGUUCAGUGUAGUAACUACAUGAACCAUUCAUAAUAAAUGACCCCAAGGGAAAAGUGAUUAAUCAUAUUUCAGUUGUUUGUUUAGCAAGGUGAAACACAUUCCAGUCUCCAGGACAAAGAUUGCCUUACUGAGAUGUAUUUAGAGGCACGACUGCAGGGACCAAAUAAAUAAUAAGAGGUAUGACAUUUAUUUCAAGAAACUUCUUUGCUAAAGGAAGGUGGGGAGCGUUAUUUUUAUACCACAGUCAAACAAGUAUUGGAAAAGAGUGAUCUCCUCUGAGACAUGGACUGGUCAUACGGUUGAUAUAUGAACAAAUAUAGGAUCACGUUAAACAGAUGGCCUUCAAAACACUUCCUCUUUUGCUCCAAUUCCCAAAGGAGAAAACAAUUGACACACAAGAUAUGCUAUGAAAUAUUGCCACAGACUGCUUUGCAUUUAGGUGAAAUAUUACACAGUACUGUUUUCUUGAAAUGGGAUGCUCUAACACAGUCUUGAUCUCGAAGAUCUCCCCACCAAAGUUUCUUAGGUUUCUCUUAGUUUCUGUCUUCUUACAGAAAUGUAGUGGUCAAAGUCAACUCCAAUUUCAACAGAUGCUGCAAAAAUUAGUCUUUCCUUAUCAGCCUUUUGCAGUGAUCCAUCACCACUAAUCUAGUGCAAUGGAACCCCAGCAUGAAACACAAAUCUACUUGUGUAUUUCAUUUUAAGUAAUUUGUGAAACAUGUAACAUCUAUCUGCAGGCAGGCCCUGUACUACCUGUAGCCGCUGGAACUGCUCAGAAUGAGAUCUGAGCACUGUGAUAUCAGCUUCACUGGAUGCUGGAUUUCCACCUCGUAUUUCUGGCAAUAUCAUAUAACUUGUUUUUUCUAUAGAGAGGAAGUGGUUAAGAGGGAAGGGUAUUGAUUUUCGUUCUAAUCUAGCUAAAACACAAUGAACGACUAAUACUCAUAGGCACUAAUAGUCCAUGAUAAUUAAAAUUUUAUAGCAAAUGGGUUUAAUCUUCUGUUCAGAUGAGUCCCUGACAAAGGUUCCACGAGCUUCUAAGAGAAAUCACAUGCUGAUUUUCUCUUGCAAGGGCUAUAGAAUAGCAUUAAAGAUGUUUGACUGAAAUAGAUAACAUACACUCAAUUAUCAGAGCCAUGAGAUACAGUAUUUCACUAUUGUCUGCUGAAUAACUCUUUCUACAUUCCCAACUUAUUGGAAUGCAAUCUUUUUUAUUCAUAGCUUAUGCAUAUCUUGUUGCAUUAUAGCAUUAUGGUGAUUAUUAAUCCCUUCAUCAUGUAACAAUAAUAUGUGAUAAAUCAGUCCUCUGUUACCAGUCUGGAAUUGCUACUUGCUAAAGAGAUGCCUGUUACCUCUGAUAAAAAUCUUGCAUUAAAUUUUCCUCCAGUAAGAUCCUUUAAAUCAUUAAUUUGAUUGAGGAAUUAUGCAAAUGACCAAUGAAGAGAUUUUUCUGUUUUAAUCCCAGUAAUGAAUCCUUUAUCUGUAAGUAGGCAGCUCUUCUAUUUUCAAUACAGGUCUGUUUAAAGUGUUACAAAUACAUGGGAUGAGAACUGACUAGGUUGGGGGUUUUCCCUUCUGCUUUAAAGUACCUCUGAAUGCACACAGAUUAAUUUUUUAAAAUUUUUAACUUUGUUAUUUCAGUGAAAGGGACAGAUUAAUUUUGCACAAAGACAUUAGCAAGGGGACUUUGAGAUACCACCUCCAUGAUCCUAUUCAAUUAUUGUCACUCUAGGAGGAGGUGGGUUUUUUUGUCCCCAACUGAAAAUGAAGACAGCAUUCUACCCCUCCCUUCCCAAAUUUUGUCUGAUUUUCCUAGUUAGACAAAAAGGUCUUUUUCACUAGGAGAUCAUUAUUACAUUUAGAUAUUUUAGCCCUCUUAUCUCUACUGGGACCCUUACUGAUUCUCUAGAUCUAAAUAUAUGGUAUUAAGAAUACAAAAUCAUAGACAAAAUGCUUCACCACUUAAAAUGCAGCACAUGAGAGUGAAAUUGAUAUAGUUUUAUUCUUACCUGUCUAGUGUCUAUACAAAUUCUUGAUUAAAACCAAUUAAUACAAAUUAUAAUCUUGGAUGUUUUUCAUACUGUUCUAGAAAAAUCAUCAUAACUAAAGAAUAAAUUUGAAUAAUUGUGUAAAUUACACAUAUUGAAAGUUAUUGGAACUAGGCUAAGGAACAUCAAAACUGCCAUUUAAAUAUCAAGUUCAAACUUCUGUCUUUUCUUUAAAGCUUAGUACCUUAUUCAAGUUACUAAAGAAAAGGAUGAAGGGUAACCUGGUCAUUGUGUUGAAUUAUAUUAAUAACAAAAAUAAUACCUAUCUGGGGGAGGUUCUGCUUGAAAAAUAUGUAACAAAAAUAUUCUUGAAAGUGGAACUUGGAAAAUUAAAAUUUGAUCUACUUUAUCUUAGUAAAGUAGUUUUGGGGAGUGAGAGAAUUAAAAUGUUAUUUAACCAAGUUAACUUGAGACAAAAGCCUUGAUAUCCUGUGAGAAGAGAGAAAGAUCUAACUCAUAGAUAUCAGAAAAGAAAUCAUUUUCAGAGAUAGGGUUGUAAAGCAUUGGAAUAGAUUGCCAGAUGAAGUGUUAGCAAUUCCAUUCCUGGAAUUGUUCAAAAAAAAAGAGUGGAUAUGGAAGACAUGGUUUAAUGGUGAACACGUUGGUGGAGCUAGUUGGAUGGUUGGACUUGAUGAGCUGGAAGGUCUUUUCCAACCUUGAUGAUUCUAUGCUUCUACUUAAAAAAAAAAUUAAAAAAAAAAAAAAAAA
rnacentral:lncRNA from 1 species